rnacentral:rRNA from 1 species
GUGUCAGCCGCCGCGGUAAGACGAACCGUCCAAACGUUAUUCGGAAUCACUGGGCUUAAAGGGUGCGUAGGCUGCCCGGUAAGUUGGGUGUGAAAGCCCUCGGCUCAACCGAGGAAUUGCGCCCAAAACUGUCGGGCUCGAGGAAGAUAGAGGUGAGCGGAACUAAGGGUGGAGCGGUGAAAUGCGUUGAUAUCCUUAGGAACACCAGUAGCGAAAGCGGCUCACUGGGUCUUCUCUGACGCUGAGGCACGAAAGCUAGGGGAGCGAACGGGAUUAGAUACCCCGGUAGUCCUAGCCCUAAACGAUGAGCACUGAUUUGGAGGGUCCUCCAUAGCCCUCCAGAUGUAGCGAAAGUGUUAAGUGCUCCGCCUGGGGAGUAUGGUCGCAAGGCUGAA